rnacentral:rRNA from 1 species
CGGGAGGCUGCGUCGAGAAUAUUUUGCAAUGGGGGAAACCCUGACGAUGCCACGCCGCGUGAGGGAUGAAGGCCCUCGGGUCGUAAACCUCUGUGUUACGGGAUGAAUUGGUUGUUGCUGAUAACUCAACAAUUUUGACGUUACCGUAAUAGAUUCCCCGGCUAACUACGUGCCUCAUCUGCGGUAAUACUUAGGGGGCAAGCGUUGUCCGGAAUCACUGGGCGUAAAGCGCGCGCAGGCGGUGGAGUAAGUCUGACGUGAAAGGGUUCGGCUCAACCCGAGCCCAUUGCGUCUGAUACUGCCUCACUUGAGUCUGGAAGAGGAAAGUGGAAUGUACGGUGUAGCGGUGAAAUGCUCAGAUAUCAUAUAGAACACCCGUGGCGAAGGCGGCUUUCUGGUCUAAGACUGACGCUCAUGCGCGAAAGUUUGGGGAGCAACCGGGAUUAGAUACCCCGCUAGUCCUUACUGUAAACGAUGGGUACUAAGUGUAGGGGGUAUUGAUUCCCUCUGUGCUGUAGCUAACGCAUUAAGUACCCCGCCUGGGGAGUACGGCCGCAAGGUUAAAACUCAAGGUAAUUGACGGGGGGCCGCACAAGAGGUGGAGCAUGUCGCUCAAUUCGACGCAACGCGAAGAACCUUAUCCAGGGCUUGACAUCGCAGUGACCGCCAUAGAAAUAUGGUUUUCCUUCGGGACACUAUGACAGGUGCUGCAUGGCUGUAGUCAGCUCGUGUCGUGAGAUGUUGGGUUAAGUCCCGCAACGAGCGCAACCCCUGUCUUUAGUUGCCAACAGGUAAUGCUGGGGACUCUAAAGAGACCGCUGGUGACGAGCCAGAGGAAGGUGGGGAUGACGUCAAGUCCGCAUGGCCCUUACGCCCUGGGCUGCACACGUGCUACAAUGGCCGGUACAGAGGGACGCCAAACCGCAAGGUGAAGCAAAUCCCAAAAAGCCGGCCCCAGUUCGGAUUGCAGUCCGCAACUCGACUGCACGAAGUUGGAAUCGCUAGUAAUCGCGAAUCAGCAGGUCGCGGUGAAUCCGUUCCCGGCCCUUGUACACACCGCCCGUA